rnacentral:rRNA from 1 species
UACGAAGGGGGCUAGCGUUGCUCGGAAUUACUGGGCGUAAAGCGCACGUAGGCGGCUUUCUAAGUCGGGGGUGAAAUCCUGGAGCUCAACUCCAGAACUGCCUUCGAUACUGGAAAGCUCGAGUCCGGGAGAGGUGAGUGGAACUGCGAGUGUAGAGGUGAAAUUCGUAGAUAUUCGCAAGAACACCAGUGGCGAAGGCGGCUCCCUGGCCCGGGACUGACGCUGAGGUGCGAAAGCGUGGGGAGCAAACAGG